AGAGUUUGAUCCUGGCUCAGAAUGAACGCUGGCGGCGUGCCUAAGACAUGCAAGUCGCACGUGAAAGGUAGCAAUACUGAGUAAAGUGGCGCACGGGUGAGUAAUAUUUAGGUAACUUACCCUCUCGCUGUGGAUAACCAGACGAAAGUUUGGCUAAUACAGAAUAAUUUAAUCGGAACUGCGGUUCUGAUUAGUAAAGCCGUAAGGCGCGAGAGGCUAGGCCUAAAUCCCAUUAGCUAGUUGGUAGGGUAAAAGCCUACCAAGGCUACGAUGGGUAGCUGUUCUGAGAGGAAGACCAGCCACACUGGAACUGGAACACGGUCCAGACUCCUACGGGAGGCAGCAGUUAGGAAUUUUGCGCAAUGGGGGAAACCCUGACGCAGCAACGCCGCGUGAAGGAUGAAGGCCUUCGGGUCGUAAACUUCUUUUAGUAGGGAAGAAAAAAAUGACGGUACCUACAGAAAAAGCACCGGCUAACUUCGUGCCAGCAGCCGCGGUAAUACGAAGGGUGCAAGCGUUAUUCGGAAUCACUGGGCGUAAAGAGCUCGUAGGCUGUUAAUUAAGUCGAAUGUGAAAUCCCUGGACUCAAUCCAGGACGUGCAUCCGAUACUGAUUGACUAGAGUGCAGGAGAGGAAAGCGGAAUUCCAGGUG
rnacentral:rRNA from 1 species